rnacentral:ribozyme from 1 species
UGCAAGGAUACACACCAUCAGAUAGCGAGAAAAAGAGAGAGACACUCACACAUAGGACAAUAGUUUUCAAUUCUUAUUAUUUUCAGAGUUGUGGUUUCCUCUUUUUUUUUUUUUGAUCGAUCGAGACUCUUCCUUGCGAUUUUCCUUCUC